GAUGAACGCUGGCGGCGUGCCUAAUACAUGCAAGUCGAGCGAACAGAUAAGGAGCUUGCUCCUUUUACGUUAGCGGCGGACGGGUGAUUAACACGUUGGUAACCUACCUAUAAUACUGGCAUAACUCCGGGAAACCGUGUCUAAUGCCGGCUAACAUUUAGAACCGCAUUGUUCUUAAGUUAAUUUUGUUUUUUCUAUCUCUUAUAGAUGUACCCGCGCCUUAUUAUCUAGUUGGUAAGGUAACGGCUUACCAAGGCAACGAUACGUAGCCGACCUGAGAGGGUGAUCGGCCACACUGGAACUGAGACACGGUCAAGACUACUACGGGAGGCAGCAGUAGGGAAGAUUCCGCAAUGGGCGAAAGCGUGACGGAGCAAAGCAGCGUGAGUGAUGAAGGUCUUCGGAUCGUAAAACUCUGUUAUUAGGGAAGAAAAAAUGUGUAAGUAACUGUGAACGUCUUGACGGUACCUAAUCAGAAAGCAACGGCUAACUACGUG
rnacentral:rRNA from 1 species